ensembl:processed_transcript
UUUAGCAAAACAUGGACAAUCAUCAGUAUCAUUUUUAUUGCAAAUUAGUUAACAAAAAAAGAUGAAAAAAUACAUCAUUUUCAUUACCUACAGUUUUGCAUGUAGAUAAUUUUUUUUAAGUUUCUUUUUUCUGUAAACUACACUUUAUUUUAUAAAACAUGAUAAGAAUCAACAUCUUAGGAUGUGUCUGGUCAUAUCUAUUAGGCAUGGCGCAGACACUGCCCCCCAAAAGGCUAGGAGGAGCUGCCCUGAGGAGGUGGGCAACUGCCCCCGAAAGCCCCUAGCACACAGUGGCUGGGAAGGGGCUUGGUGGGCAGCAGAUGGGCCGUCCUGGGUUGUGCUCUUAGGAGCUACUGGCUCGGCAGCUGCAGGUCACAAGAUCUGGGUCACACUGAGCUGAGCCGCAGUCUGAC